CUGAGUAGAGCGGCGGACGGGUGAGUAACGCGUAGGAAUCUACCCGGUAGUGGGGGACAACUUGGGGAAACUCAAGCUAAUACCGCAUACGCCCUAUGGGGGAAAGCGGGGGACCUUCGGGCCUCGUGCUAUCGGAUGAGCCUGCGUAGGAUUAGCUAGUUGGUGGGGUAAAGGCUCACCAAGGCGACGAUCCUUAGCUGGUCUGAGAGGAUGAUCAGCCACACUGGGACUGAGACACGGCCCAGACUCCUACGGGAGGCAGCAGUGGGGAAUAUUGCGCAAUGGGCGAAAGCCUGACGCAGCCAUGCCGCGUGUGUGAAGAAGGCCUUAGGGUUGUAAAGCACUUUCAAUUGGGAAGAAAAGCUGCUGCCUAAUACGCAGUAACCCUAACAUUACCUUUAGAAGAAGCACCAACUAACUCCGUGCCAACAACCACGGUAAUACGGAGGGUGCGAGCGUUAAUCGGAAUUACUGGGCGUAAAGCGCGCGUAGGCGGUUUGUUAAGUCAGCUGUGAAAGCCCCGGGCUCAACCUGGGAAUUGCAGUUGAUACUGGCCGACUAGAGUACGAGAGAGGGAGGUAGAAUUCCAUGUGUAGCGGUGAAAUGCGUAGAUAUAUGGAGGAAUACCAGUGGCGAAGGCGGCCUCCUGGCUCGAUACUGACGCUGAGGUGCGAAAGCGUGGGGAUCAAACAGGAUUAGAUACCCUGGUAGUCCACGCCGUAAACGAUGUCUACUAGCCGUUGGGAGACUUGAUUUCCUAGUGGCGCAGCUAACGCACUAAAGUAGACCGCCUGG
rnacentral:rRNA from 1 species